GAUGAACGCUGGCGGCGUGCCUAAUACAUGCAAGUCGAACGCAGUGGGGACGGGUGAGUAACACGUGGGUAACCUCCCAUCAGAGGGGAUAACACUUGGAAACAGGUGCUAAACCGAUACUGAUGGAUGGACCCGCGGUGCAUUAGCUAGUUGGUGGGGUAAAGGCCUACCAAGGCGACGAUCAGUAGCGGGUCUGAGAGGACGACACGCCACACUGGGACUGAGACACGGCCCAGACUCCUACGUGAGGCAGCAGUGGGGAAUAUUGGACAAUGGGGGCAACCCUGAUCCAGCCAUGCCGCGUGUGUGAAGAAGGCCUUCGGGUUGUAAAGUACUUUUGUUAGGGAAGCGGUACCUAAAGAAUAAGCACCGGCUAACUACGUGCCAGCAGCCGCGGUAAUAC
rnacentral:rRNA from 1 species